UGACCUGAAGAAUGGGAACGCAGAAUGGGAAAUAUCCCAUUUCAGAAUGGGCUGCAUUCUUGGUCGUGUUCCAGGAUUUUGAGAAUGGAAUGUAUACCAAACGAUGUUUUUUAGAGUCCAGAAUGUGUUUUUUAUAUAGAAUGCAUUCCAAGAAUGCAUACCAAACACAGCCUAGGUUUCUUCUUUUGUGCAUAA